AUACUUACCUGGCAGGGGAGAGACCAUGAUCAAGAAGGUGGUUCUCCCAGGGCGAGGCUCCUCCAUUGCACUUUGCGAGGGGUUGACCCCUGUGAUUUCCCCAAAUGUGGGAAACUCAACUGCAUAAUUUAUGGCAGGGGGGGGGGGGACUGUGUCCGCGCUGAUCCCUG